rnacentral:tRNA from 1 species
GGGCGUGUGGUCUAGUGGUAUGAUUCUCGCUUUGGGAAGCUUCUCAGCCUGUGCUGAGAAACAAUUCAAGUAUGCGAGAGGCCCUGGGUUCAAUUCCCAGCUCGCCCC